GAAAUGCGAUAAGUAAUGUGAAUUGCAGAAUUCCGUGAAUCAUUAAAUCUUUGAACGCACAUUGCGCCCUCUGGUAUUCCUAAGGGCAUGCCUGUUCGAGAAUCAGUUAAACCAUCAAACCUAUUUGGGCGACCAAGCAGUUUUGGAUUUGGGACUUCUCGCUAGAGAGACCUUAAUAACAUUUGUUGCCUAUCUUUAUUGAUCCUAUGCGAAUGGCAUGACCAUUGAACGAAAGUUCUUAAUGAUUGCAGCUAGUAUAGAGGAUUAAAGCUUAGUGUACAAAAUUUUAACACGAAGAGAAUUAAAACACUCUUUAAGACUUGAUCUCGAAUCAGACAAGACUACCCGCUGAACUUAA
rnacentral:misc_RNA from 1 species